UAGAAAUUGAAAUAACUGAUAAUCCUUCUUCUAAUAAAAUUAUCAUUCACCUCCAUUCUGACGAAACACAAACCCAGACUGGGUUUCAAGUAACUUAUAAAACAUUUUGGUAAGUGCAUCUGGCAUUUAAUUACACCUUGUUUUAAAAAUUCAUGAUAACUAAUAGUUAAGUAAAACAGAACAUAACAUUGUGGCAGAAACAAUGCUGAAUUCGUUAAUAACCUGUAUUUUUUUUAAAAGGCAGUGAACAAACGACUGUUUACAAAACACAACACAUAAAACUAAAGUUUUAGUAACAAGAAUCUAACAGAAGGGCUUUGACAGGUUAUGAUUUCAAAAGUAGCACAAUACUAGGAAACCGGAGGAUUGUCAUUACAUUAUAGAUAGUACUUAAAUUGUUAUUAUUCAUCAAAAGACUAGAAAAAACAUUAAAAAAAACCAAAGGCAGAAAAUCACAAUACAAAUAAACAUUGAAUUUCACUACACUACAAAAUCAUAAACACACCUGCAUAGCAACAAUAUUACUUUAGGAUUAAUCAAAUAUCAAACAGUAUUAUGUUUUUCAAUCCAAAUAGUUGAGAACGGAAAUGUUUAUCAAUUGUAUCUUAUGAAUUUUGAAUUAAACGUGUAAACGUAUUUUAUUUCAUGUUAUUUAUCUUAAUUUUUGUUUCAGAUGACAGACCUGCUCUUACAUGUACAUGACUAAGUGGAAAUACAUCUAAUAGAAACAGUCAUAAAUACGUUUAAAACAAGCUAUGCUCCAUAAUGUAUCUAAUAAGUUAAUAUUGGCUUUGAACUUAGUGUCAGUAACUGAGAGUACUCUCAGAUCUGUAUCUGGUGGCUAUGACGUACCCAG
rnacentral:lncRNA from 1 species